UACGGAGGGCGCAAGCAUUAAUCGGAUUUACUGGGUGUAAAGAGUGCGUAGGCGGACAGGCAAGUCAGAUGUGAAAUUCCGUUGCUUAACAUCGGAGCUGCAUUUGAUACUACCUGUCUUGAGGAUAGAUGGAGAAAACGGAAUUCCACGUGUAGCGGUGAAAUGCGUAGAUAUGUGGAAGAACACCUGUGGCGUAAGCGGUUUUCUAAUUUAUUCCUGACGCUGAGGUACGAGAGCAAGGGGAGCAAACAGG
rnacentral:rRNA from 1 species